rnacentral:rRNA from 1 species
GACGGAGGAUGCAAGUGUUAUCGGGAAUCACUGGGCGUAAAGCGUCUGUAGGUGGUUUAAUAAGUCAACUGUUAAAUCUUGAGGCUCAACCUCAAAAUCGCAGUCGAAACUAUUAGGCUAGAGUAUAGUAGGGGUAAAGGGAAUUUCCAGUGGAGCGGUGAAAUGCGUAGAGAUUGGAAAGAACACCGAUGGCGAAGGCACUUUACUGGGCUAUUACUAACACUCAGAGACGAAAGCUAGGGUAGCAAAUGGG